AUGAUGAUAACCCUUUUGAUUUACGGUUAGAAUAACCUGACGAUUUGUGAUGUCAAACUAGGGCGGACUGAUCAU